rnacentral:lncRNA from 1 species
AACUCAUCAAACACUCGAAUAGUAUUAUCAAGCCAGAAUUCAGCUCGCUCAGCAUCAUCAUCAUCAGUAGCUCUGAACUCUUCGGCCCCGUGUUUUCGAAAUUUGUCAACCGGAGGCUUAAGUAAUCUCAUCGGAUCACUUACUUGGGGUAUAACAGGAAUCGAAUAUGGAUUAGUCGGGGGUGGAGGUUGUUGUGUAACCGGAUUAGUUCAGACAUAAUGAGUAAACCAGUC